UAAUCAUAUGCUUAUGACGGUAGAAGGAAUUUUGACCGAGUUCUAAACCUACUCGGUUGAGGCUGGGUUAUUUCUCACACAUCUAUCUAACGCUAUUUUUCAUAUCUUCAAAAACCGCCAUUAAUUCUCACACCAUCACAACAGAGAGGCCCGACUGUGAUUCACGCAUGCAAUUUGACAAUCGAACAUCUCCAUCCCACCAUCGUUGACAUCUGUUCCAAAGGGAAUAGAAGACGAAGAACCCAUCCUUACGAAGUUACGAUUUGGAUUCAAUUAUUCUAGAGUCUAGGCGUUUGACCUCGUCAUCAGUCUAAACGCAAUUCACCGGUCCUUCAUCUUGUAGAAUUGCCCAUAUCCUUGAAGUUGAACUGAUUGGAGAAAGAGGGUACAUAUUAUCAAGCACAAGACGCAUUCUUAGUUACAAUCAAAGUACUAUGUAGUUUAUAAUUUUUCUAUGUAAAAAGAUUGGAGAAUAUUGUGUUUUUAUUUAGUUGCCAAUGGAACUUUUUAUUUCAAGUACAUUUUAAUGUAAAGAUAUUAGAAAUUUUCUAUUAAUAAUAAUAUUUCGUUAUUCCA